rnacentral:rRNA from 1 species
UACGUAGGGGGCUAGCGUUGCUCGGAAUUACUGGGCGUAAAGGGCGCGUAGGCGGUUAUUUAAGUUGGGUGUGAAAUCCCGGGGCUCAACCUCGGAAUUGCCUUCAAAACUGGAUAUCUUGAGUUCGGGAGAGGUGAGUGGAACUCCGAGUGUAGAGGUGAAAUUCGUAGAUAUUAGGAAGAACACCAGUGGCGAAGGCGGCUCACUGGCCCGGUACUGACGCUCAUGUGCGAAAGCGUGGGGAGCAAACAGG